rnacentral:rRNA from 1 species
CAGUAGUCAUAUGCUUGUCUCAAAGAUUAAGCCAUGCAUGUCUAAGCACGAACUUUUACACGGUGAAGCUGCGAAUGGCUCAUUAGGUCACCCAUCAUUUCUUGGAUCGUACAGUCCUACUUGGAUAACUGUGGUAAUUCUAGAGCUAAUACAUGCGAGCAAGCUCCGACCCGGCGGGCGGUCGGUCUCGGCCGGUCGUCCGCGUCUCGGGAAAGAGCGCGUUUAUUAGAUCAAAACCAAUCGGUCGGGCGUCGUUCGCAAGGGCGGCGUCCGUCCGCUUGGCGACUCUGGAUAACUUCGAGCGGAUCGCACGGGCCCCGUCCCGGCGACGUAUCUUUCAAGUGUGUGCCCUAUCAACUGUCGAUGGUACGCGAUAUGCCUACCAUGGUCGUAACGGGUAACGGGGAAUCAGGGUUCGAUUCCG